rnacentral:rRNA from 1 species
UACAGAGGUCUCAAGCGUUGUUCGGAAUUACUGGGCGUAAAGCGUGUGUAGGCGGUCCACUAAGUCGGGUGUGAAAGCCCUGGGCUCAACCCAGGAAGUGCACUCGAAACUGGCGGGCUAGAGUAUCGGAGAGGUUGGUGGAAUUCUCGGUGUAGAGGUGAAAUUCGUAGAUAUCGAGAGGAACACCGGUGGCGAAGGCGGCCAACUGGACGAAUACUGACGCUGAGACACGAAAGCGUGGGGAGCAAACAGG